GACGAACGCUGGCGGCGUGCUUAACACAUGCAAGUCGAACGGAAAGGCCCUGCUUUUGUGGGGUGCUCGAGUGGCGAACGGGUGAGUAACACGUGAGUAACCUGCCCUUGACUUUGGGAUAACUUCAGGAAACUGGGGCUAAUACCGGAUAGGAGCUCCUGCUGCAUGGUGGGGGUUGGAAAGUUUCGGCGGUUGGGGAUGGACUCGCGGCUUAUCAGCUUGUUGGGGGGGUAGUGGCUUACCAAGGCUUUGACGGGUAGUCGGCCUGGGAGGGUGACCGGCCACAUUGGGACUGAGAUACGGCCCAGACUCCUACGGGAGGCAGCAGUGGGGAAUAUUGCACAAUGGGCGGAAGCCUGAUGCAGCAACGCCGCGUGCGGGAUGACGGCCUUCGGGUUGUAAACCGCUUUCGCCUGUGACGAAGCGUGAGUGACGGUAAUGGGUAAAGAAGCACCGGCUAACUACGUG
rnacentral:rRNA from 1 species